rnacentral:rRNA from 1 species
GAUGAACGCUGGCGGCGUGCCUAAUACAUGCCAGUCGAGCGAACAGACGAGGAGCUUGCUCCUCUGACGUUAGCGGCGGACGGGUGAGUAACACGUGGAUAACCUACCUAUAAGACUGGGAUAACUUCGGGAAACCGGAGCUAAUACCGGAUAAUAUAUUAAACCGCAUGGUUCAAUAGUGAAAGACGGUUUUGCUGUCACUUAUAGAUGGAUCCGCGCCGCAUUAGCUAGUUGGUAAGGUAACGGCUUACCAAGGCAACGAUGCGUAGCCGACCUGAGAGGGUGAUCGGCCACACUGGAACUGAGACACGGUCCAGACUCCUACGGGAGGCAGCAGUAGGGAAUCUUCCGCAAUGGGCGAAAGCUUGACGGAGCAACGCCGCGUGAGUGAUGAAGGUCUUCGGAUCGUAAAACUCUGUUAUUAGGGAAGAACAAAUGUGUAAGUAACUAUGCACGUCUUGACGGUACCUAAUCAGAAAGCCACGGCUAACUACGUG